ensembl:snRNA U1 U1 spliceosomal RNA
CUGCUUACUGGCAGAGGAGAUAGCAUGGUGACCAAGGUGCCUCAACCAAGGAGACAGUCAGCCAAUGCACUGUGGCCAUGCUGAGCCAUGCAAUUCCCCUAAAUGUGGGAAUCUCGACUGCAUAAUUUCUGGUACUGGGGGCAAGGGUGUCAGAGGGGCCUGGAUACCCUGG